rnacentral:rRNA from 1 species
UACGAAGGGUGCAAGCGUUACUCGGAAUUACUGGGCGUAAAGCGUGCGUAGGUGGUGAGUUAAGUCUGAUGUGAAAUCCCCGGGCUCAACCUGGGAAUGGCAUUGGAUACUGGCUCGCUAGAGUGCGGUAGAGGGUGGUGGAAUUCCCGGUGUAGCAGUGAAAUGCGUGGAGAUCGGGAGGAACAUCUGUGGCGAAGGCGGCCACCUGGACCAACACUGACACUGAGGCACGAAAGCGUGGGGAGCAAACAGG